rnacentral:rRNA from 1 species
UGGGGAAUAUUGCACAAUGGGCGCAAGCCUGAUGCAGCCAUGCCGCGUGUAUGAAGAAGGCCUUCGGGUUGUAAAGUACUUUCAGUCGGGAGGAAGGUGGUAAGGUUAAUAACCUUAUCAAUUGACGUUACCGACAGAAGAAGCACCGGCUAACUCCGUGCCAGCAGCCGCGCUAAUACGGAGGGUGCAAGCGUUAAUCGGAAUUACUGGGCGUAAAGCGCACGCAGGCGGUUGAUUGAGUCAGAUGUGAAAUCCCCGGGCUUAACCCGGGAGUUGCAUCUGAUACUGGUCAGCUAGAGUCUUGUAGAGGGGGGUAGAAUUCCAUGUGUAGCGGUGAAAUGCGUAGAGAUGUGGAGGAAAACCGGUGGCGAAGGCGGCCCCCUGGACAAAGACUGACGCUCAGGUGCGAAAGCGUGGGGAGCAAACAGG